rnacentral:rRNA from 2 species
UACGGAGGGUGCAAGCGUUGUUCGGAAUUAUUGGGCGUAAAGCGCGUGUAGGCGGUUUGUUAAGUCUGGUGUGAAAGCCCUGGGCUCAACCUGGGAAGUGCAUUGGAUACUGGCAAACUUGAGUACGGGAGAGGAUAGUGGAAUUUCGAGUGUAGGGGUGAAAUCCGUAGAUAUUCGAAGGAACACCGGUGGCGAAGGCGGCUAUCUGGACCGAUACUGACGCUGAGACGCGAAAGCGUGGGGAGCAAAC